AAAUACCUCACAAUCUCCUCGGUAUUUUGCCCCUUCGAAACCCUAAUUUUGGUGCCGCCAGGCUGCCGAAAUUUCUCGCCGGAGUUCGCGCCGCCGCCGCCGUCGCUGAGCUUCGAAGAGCACAACGCCAGGAAAACGUCGCCGGAGUUCAUCACCACCUGAGCUGCUCCAUCCACACGCAGCAGCCGCUCGGGGAGGAGAAAGAGGACGCGAAGACAGCUGCUGUGACCGCCAUCUCCUACCGCACCUCGUCGCCCCAAGCCCUUCCUUAGCACCGGCACGAGCCGCAUCCGUCGCCGGAGUUUCAUCGGAGCUGAGCUCGGUCAGUCAACCACCGUCGUUACGGAGAUGACGCCAACACGAUCGAAAAAGAACGCCCGCACGCCGUUGUCCGCUUCGCCGAGCCCAAGAACCACAGGGGCAGCAUCGGCGAAGACAUUCCCAGCAGCUCCGUCUGUCAUCCUCACUAACACCACCGAUUGUACGGAGUGCAACGAGUGCGACUGCAACGAUUGUCUGAACAAC